rnacentral:rRNA from 1 species
UCCAGGCCCUACGGGGUGCAGCAGGCGCGAAACCUCCGCAAUGUGAGAAAUUGCGACGGGGGGAUCCCAAGUGCCAUUCUUAACGGGAUGGCUUUUCAUUAGUGUAAAGAGCUUUUGGAAUAAGAGCUGGGCAAGACCGGUGCCAGCCGCCGCGGUAACACCGGCAGCUCUAGUGGUAGCAGUUUUUAUUGGGCCUAAAGCGUCCGUAGCCGGUUUAAUAAGUCUCUGGUGAAAUCCUGCAGCUUAACUGUGGGAAUUGCUGGAGAUACUAUUAGACUUGAGAUCGGGAGAGGUUAGAGGUACUCCCAGGGUAGAGGUGAAAUUCUGUAAUCCUGGGAGGACCGCCUGUUGCGAAGGCGUCUGACUGGAACGAUUCUGACGGUGAGGGACGAAAGCUAGGGGCGCGAACCGGAUUAGAUACCCGGGUAGUCCUAGCUGUAAACGAUGCGGACUUGGUGUUGGGGUGGCUUUGAGCUGUCCCGGUGCCGAAGGGAAGCUGUUAAGUCCGCCGCCUGGGAAGUACGGUCGCAAGACUGGAACUUAAAGGAAUUGGCGGGGGAGCACCACAACGCGUGGAGCCUGCGGUUUAAUUGGAGUCAACGCCGG